UAUAUUUGGGCGCCCAAUUCUAAUCUGCUUCUAAAAAAAAUUGAAACCCUCAAGUCUCCAAGUCUUGUCUUCUUCUCGCUUCCUCCAGUAGUCCAGGCGAUUCCAGGCAAAGCCGACAAAGGGCGACGAACCUGCUGACGAGGGCUCCGCCUCCCCUGCGAUAGCCGCCGACGAGGGCUCAGCCUCCCCUGCGAUAGCCGCCGACCAAUUCGUCCACCGCCGGUAAGUGUUUCUUAUUAUCUUAUUUUCUAAUUUUUUUGGCUGUGUUUCUAUAUGCUGACGAAUCCGACGGGCGACGAAGCAGCUGCUGAUGACGACCGACGAAGAGGGUUUCGCCUCCCCUGCGAUAGCCGCCGACCAGUUCGCCCACAGCCGGAGUUUGGUCAUCGUGUUAAGCUUACAACUCAUAUAAAGUUAUCAAGUUCCAUGAUUUUGUGAAAUCAGCAGUUGUAGAAUUCUAUCCUUUGGGUGGUGACCCUCGGGUUUUAUCAGAAUGUAAGAGCUCCUUGACUUGCAUGUAUUUUAUUUUAUGUUUGUGUUUAAGUUAGUGUCUAAAGUGGUUGUGAUCCUGAUUUCAAUUACCCAAUUUAUUAUUUGUCAGUUCUGUUGUAAAUCAUGAAAAUGCAAUUAUUGUAUUUUGUAGUAGAGAUUUUAAUUUGGAAACAGACAAAGUAUCAUGGUUAUUAAGCCCAAAGGUGCAAUCUGGAAAGUCCCUCACCAAGCAAUUAUUGCAAAUCCUCCUGCAUAUGGUACUAACUCUUGCUAACUUUAGUUCCUCAGCUUCUUUAGAUUCUAGUUGAUUUUUAUCUUUAAAUAUUCACUACUAUGCUCUAGAAUCGUUGGUGUACUUACUAAUAAAUCACUAUUUGACAUCUAUACCAAGUUGUGGCUUAAUAGUUUAUGUCUACACCAAGUUGUGGCUUAAUAGUAUUCAGCAUUUGAUUAACUGUUUUCUGAAAGAUGUCAUUGAAGAGUAUUAGGUAGUAGUGUUUGGAGUUGCGGAAACAAAAAGAUGCUUUGUGCAUGCAAUUUCAUGAGUAUUUUAAAUGCCACAUUUUCUAUUUGAUUAAUAGAUAUGAAGCUGCUGAACUGGCUCAUCUUUAUGACACUUUUGACCAGAAAAUUCAAGGCCUCAAGGUAGCAAGGUGUAAUGUGUAUGGGAAUCCUUUGGCAAUGCCCUUGGGGAAUGGGAUGAGAGGGGACAGUGUGUUUCAUUAGCCUUCAACCCUAUAUUUACUUAUAUAUCAUGUGGAUCAUUUCAUUUAUUUUCUCUGCCUUGAACUUACACUUUUUAAGAUGAUGCCUUACAUGUUUCUUUAAUAGGCAGGCCGACGUCUGAAUUUCUUCAUCCAUUGGCUCAUGUACCUCAGAGUGCUGGGUUCUGGAUAAAAUUCCAGUCUUCUGCAUUAAAAAAAUUGUUUGAGUUCUCUAAAUUCUACUAUUUGUUGCCUAACAUUUCACUGCAUAUCAGUCUUCUGUAUUAAAAAAAAUUGUUUAUGAGUUCUCUAAAUUCUGCUAUUUGUUGCCUAACAUUUCACUACUUAAUCCAGCUUUUUUAUAUACUAGUGGACUUGCUGAUAGGGUGGGGUAUAAGAAGUUACAUCAGUGACUUCUGAAAAAAGAAGCUUAAUCUUACUCCAAUUGCAUAUUUCAGUACAUACCAUGGAUCAAUAUCUCACCUACCUACUGGCUAUAUAUGGAGCCCACAUGUUGUGCCAAAGCCACAGGUGCACAUUUUGCAGGAUUUUCAGUGGUUUGUAGAUGUGCAGUCUCCUGCUUACCUAAAUAUUUCCUCUAUUAGGUAUCAUUGCUCUUGAAG